GACGAACGCUGGCGGCGUGCUUAACACAUGCCAGUCGAACGGAAAGGCCCUGCUUUUGUGGGGUGCUCGAGUGGCGAACGGGUGAGUAACACGUGAGUAACCUGCCCUUGACUUUGGGAUAACUUCAGGAAACUGGGGCUAAUACCGGAUAGGAGCUCCUGCUGCAUGGUGGGGGUUGGAAAGUUUCGGCGGUUGUGGAUGGACUCGCGGCUUAUCAGCUUGUUGGUGGGGUAGUGGCUUACCAAGGCUUUGACGGGUAGCCGGCCUGAGAGGGUGACCGGCCACAUUGGGACUGAGAUACGGCCCAGACUCCUACGGGAGGCAGCAGUGGGGAAUAUUGCACAAUGGGCGGAAGCCUGAUGCAGCAACGCCGCGUGCGGGAUGACGGCCUUCGGGUUGUAAACCGCUUUCGCCGGUGACGAAGCGUGAGUGACGGUAAUGGGUAAAGAAGCACCGGCUAACUACGUG
rnacentral:rRNA from 1 species